UUAACUUAAGAGUUUGAUCCUGGCUCAGGACGAACGCUGGCGGCGUGCCUAACACAUGCAAGUCGAGCGGAGAUUAGCAAAUAGCUUGCUAUAAGCUAAUCUUAGCGGCGGACGGGUGAGUAACGCGUGGGAAACCUACCUUGUAGAGGGGGAUAGCCUCGGGAAACCGGGAUUAAUACUCCAUAAAGCUCUAAUGCCACAUGGUAUAGGAGUCAAAGCGACUAAGCGCUACAAGAUGGUCCCGCGUCCCAUUAGCUAGUUGGUGAGAUAACAGCUCACCAAGGCGACGAUGGGUAGCCGACCUGAGAGGGUGAUCGGCCACACUGGGACUGAGACACGGCCCAGACUCCUACGGGAGGCAGCAGUGGGGAAUAUUGCGCAAUGCGGGAAACCCUGCAGCAGCACCGCCGAGUGAG
rnacentral:rRNA from 1 species